CGGGCCCUUACAUUUCGCCCCUUCCUAUAUCCACCUAGAGGAGCCUGUCCUAUAAUCGAUGAUCCACGUUUAACCUCACCAUUUUUAGCUUAUUCAGUCAGUAUACUUCCGUCGUCAGCCUACCACUUGAGCGUUAGUGGGCUUAAUGUUUUUUCAACAACACGUCAGGUCAAGGUGCAGCUAAUAAAAUGGAAAGAGAUGGGCUACAUUUUCUAAUCUAGAGCACACGAMAGACUACUGAUGAAAACUAGUCGGAAGGCGGAUUUAGUAGUAAAUAGGAACCAAAAAGUCCUUUUUAAUUCGGCCMUGGGGUGUGUACACACCGCCCGUCACCCUCCUC
rnacentral:rRNA from 1 species